rnacentral:rRNA from 1 species
UACGGAGGGGGCUAGCGUUGUUCGGAAUUACUGGGCGUAAAGCGCACGUAGGCGGCUUUGUAAGUUAGAGGUGAAAGCCCAGGGCUUAACCCUGGAAUUGCCUUUAAGACUGCAUCGCUAGAAUCGUGGAGAGGUGAGUGGAAUUCCGAGUGUAGAGGUGAAAUUCGUAGAUAUUCGGAAGAACACCAGUGGCGAAGGCGACUCACUGGACACGUAUUGACGCUGAGGUGCGAAAGCGUGGGGAGCAAACAGGGAU